rnacentral:rRNA from 1 species
UACGUAGGGGGCGAGCGUUGUCCGGAUUUACUGGGGCGUAAAGGGUGAGUAGGCGGUUGUAUAUGUCAGGUGUAAAAGGCUAUGGCUUAACCAUGGUUAGCACUUGAAACUGUACAACUUGAGUGCAGGAGAGGUAAGUGGAAUUCCUAGUGUAGCGGUGAAAUGCGUAGAUAUUAGGAGGAACACCAGUGGCGAAGGCGGCCAACUGGGCUUUUACUGACGCUGAGGCUCGAAAGCGUGGGGAGCAAACAGGAUUAGAUACCCCGGUAGUCCCUGAGCGGG